AGGAUGGACUGACUGCUGCCCCUGUGUCUUCCCUCUGGCCUGUCAAUUGGCUAACGAGGGGCGGGGCAGUGACCUUAAUUGGUUAACUGGCCAAGUGCAGCCUAUUUAAAGAGCUUGGUGGCUAGCAACAGUGGAGGCUCUGCUGCAAGAAGGUGUGUGAGCACACCAGAGCCUUCCACCAGCUGGGUGCCCUGCCUGUCCGGACCACGGCAGGGGUGACAUUGCCAGCCUGCUUCUCUGGACUGCUACAGUUGGUCGGGCUGCUGUCUUGUCUUCAUUUAGUUUUGUUUGAUGUUUGAUUUACUAUUUUGUCUGUUACUCUUGGUUUGAUCGUUUUUGUCCAUUGUCUUUCUUUUGUGAGCAGGCAGAGUGUUAAUGGGGGGGGGGCCUAGUCACCUGCUGGGGAACUAGAGUGUGUGUACUGAGAGUUGCUUGCUGUGGAGAGCUGCACUACUUAACACUUUCAUACUGUAGAAUUGCUGUGUUUGGUAUAAACUGGUCACCGUUGAUAUUAGCCUGCCCCCUCAGGCAAGCUCUGUCUGUCUCUGUUGAAUGUCUGUCUUUUGUGUUCAAUAAAUUGUUUAUUUAAGGAA